GAUGAAGAACGUAGCGAAAUGCGAUAAGUAGUGUGAAUUGCAGAAUUCAGUGAAUCAUCGAAUCUUUGAACGCACAUUGCGCCCCAUGGCAUUCCGUGGGGCAUACCUGUUCGAGCGUCAUUUCAACCCUCAAGCUCCGCUUGGUGUUGGGCCCUGCCCCCGCGGCCGGCCCCAAAGACAGUGGCGGCGCCGCUCGGCCCUAAGCGUAGUACAUCUCUCGCUCUAGGACCCGGCGGUGGCCUGCCAGAACCCCCAACUCAUGUGGUUGACCUCGGAUCAGGUAGGGAUACCCGCUGAACUUAAGCAUAUCAAUAAGCGGAGGA
rnacentral:misc_RNA from 1 species